CUGUGAGAAUCUUAGCACCCUAAGAAGCUUAUCCUGGGUCAGAUUGCUGGCCCAUUCACUGAGCAUUGUCUGCAAAGGCUAGCAGAGUAUCUCCAGGAUUUCAGACAUGUAUUUUUCUCAGUUCUUCUCAGAGAUACCAAGGAUCGAAAGCAUUAGUUCAACUUCUGAGCCUUGGGGUACAUCCUAGGGAUACAUCCUAUGCAUAGUCUUAGCUGUGGGGUGGGGAGUAUGUAAUUUACUUUACUUCUUCCACUGCCUUCUUAGAGGGUGGAGAGAAGCCACAAGCAGCAGGGAGUUCCUCCUUUGUUCAUGCCCUGCUGUGCUCCUGUUCCUCCCAUUCUUCCCCCACUUAUGCUGACAGUAUCCUGCCAGAAGAAAGGCUGCUUUGGUGGUAGACUUUGCUGGCAUAAGGGUAUCUCUGUGCCCACAUAGAGUCUAGUCUGUUGUUCCUAUCCCCACAUAGUGGUACCCCCUUAGGGGUAGGAUUGCAUUGUGAAUCAUCUUUUCAAAACUUCUGGCCCAGUUUCAGGAGCCAUUUCUGAUUUAAGGAAUAUGUGUAAAAACCCGUAUCCUUGUGUGGAAAACAGCCCCUGGCAAAAGUUGUAAUACUCCCAUUAUGAGCCAGGAUUAUUUAUUUAUAUUAUUUCUUUCAUAAGCGCUGUGUGUGUGUGUGUGUGUGUGUGUGUGUGUGUGUGUUAAAUUUACAGCAACUCUUACUCACCCUUCGAACAUCCUUAAUCCUUUCAGAAGUAUUCAGUUGGCCACCGUGCUUCUCAUCUUCUUUGGAAGUGAGAGAGAGAGAGGAAAGGAAUGUACUUGAUCUGCCAAAAAGAAAAGAGGGAAAAAAUCACGGAAGAGGUCCCUUGGUAUAUAAAGUUUGCAGCCAAUAAACUUGUUGUUUGAAAUAAGAUUAGUAAAUGAACAAUAACUGCAAGUGUUACCAAGGAGAGUAGAACACCAUUAGAAGCAAACUAUAACUGUUUCUCCUGUGUAUUUUCCCCACCCCCCACUCAUACAUGCAAAACUCGGAGUGUUUUAUGGAUCUUUUUCUGAUUUUAUCUUAUAUGUUGUACUCUGCCUUGCUAUAUUUUUAUGAAAGUGUGGGUUAUCCAUUCAUAAAUAAAUAAAUAGAAUAAGCCACGAGGUCACCUCCUCCAAAGUGGAAGAGUGUAGUUAUACUGCAUAUCUUGUCAAGUUAUAUAAGACUUCCAUAGGUCUAGGUCCCUGCAAAAAGAUGUUUCCAGCUAAGUUUUACUCAGAAUAGACCAAUGAAAAUUAAUGGACCUAAGCUAGCCAUGUUCAUUCAUUGUCUAUUCUAAUUAGGACUAGUGUUGGAUACAACUCAGUGACCAUCUUCCUGUAACUGCCUUAGGAGGAGAACACUCAUCAGGGCCCUCUUGGAGCUGUCCAAGGUCCUGUUCUUGUUUGCCCUCUGCUUUGACCUGCCUUCACUGGACAAUGCCUGCUUCCCCAGUGAGCCUCAACCUCCCACAAAUCUGAAAAAGCAAAAAUUGCAGAUUAAAGGUGUUCAGUCCAAACGGGGAUUGGGACACAGGGAGAGGGGACCUCAGCUGUUUGUUCCUGCUUUGAUCAGCUGUUUUGGGGGGCAGGGGGGCGAUCUGGAGUUAAAUGGCUAAAGACUCCUCCAUGCCAUAAUCCCAGUUUGGAUUGCCCCCCCCCCCCCAUAAUAUACUACUGGCUUUUCAAAAUAUUUAGCCAGUAACUAAUUGAGUGAAUAAUAUUAUGUCUGUUUGAUCCCAAAAAGUUCUAGAAUACCAUCUUAAAAGCCCUUAGCUCUCAUUCAGCCAAUGAAUUAAUGACACAUAUUGAGUUAGUUGCUGUGCUGCUCAUACCUUGUGAGGAGGUGUGUGUGAAUCUGAAUUUCUGAUACGGGUUUGUCUCUGUAGAUCAUGGCAUAAGUAUAAGAUUGACAUAACUGUAAUAUGACACAAGACACACACACACCCCAUGAUGAACUCCAGUAACCAUGAAACCAGCCUGAUUCCAGUCACCUGCUAAAAAGCAUUCAGGAAUAUCCUGAAUUCACACACAUCUUGGCUUAAAGGUUAGCACAUGCAAAUGUAUUUGUCAAGUACAAGAUACUCAACUCCUCAGUGAGAUCCAGAUCUGAAGCCAGAUCACAGGCAAGAGAUGGCCAGCUUCCGAUAAUGGCAAACUACUACAAGUCUUUCACCCUUUUUGUUAAGCAAAUGGGAACAGGAUGACCAAAGAGAACUAGGCAGGAAAUUCUGGAAGGGAUUAUGGAAACUGCAGGAAUCACUCAGUCCACAGCUCUCUCCCAUCUAUACUGGUGUAUCUUGGCAAAUUGGUAUUUAAAAACCCAUUCAAUUCAAAGGUCAGUUAGCUCUCACAGCUCCAACAAGACAGAACUUACCCAGUGCUUUCCAGAACUCUAAGGACAGGUAUAUUUUCCUUCCCCCCUCUCCUAGUGUGAGUCUAUGGCAAAACUGUCAUGCCCAUUCUUCUGUAAGCUUCAUAGAAUAGUUAGGAAAUAUUUAACUCCUUAAUUAAAGUGUGUAUGUAUUGUAAUUUGCCACCUGCUUCGACUGUAACUCUGCUGUCUAAAGUAGCAUUUAUAUAUAUACAGUCAUGCCUCAGGUUGAAGUAGCUUUGGUUGAGCAUUUUCGGGUUGUGCUCUGCCCGGAAGUAACAGAAUGCAUUACUUCAAGGUUUCGCCGCUCAUGCAUGCGCAGACGCUCAAAAUGACGUCAUGCACGGAAGCGGCGAAUCGCGACCCGCGCAUGCGCAGACGCAGGUUGCGUUCGCUUCAGGAUGUGAAUGGGGCUCCGGAAUGGAUCCCGUUCGCAUCCAGAGGUACCACUGUAUAUCUAUUCUGUCAUGCCUAUUUUAUAUAAUAAACCAAGCUUUCUUUAUUUCUUUGUGUGAGAGCUUCUUGUGGGCAUAAGGUUAUGGGUUAACACACACAUCAUAACUCCCAGCAAACGAUCCUAAAGGUCUCAGAAGUGUGUAUAUGAGUAUGCAUGAGUGCUGGCUGCACACACGUGGACACACAAACCUGCAGCCUUUAACCAUACAUUUUUUCAAGGAUUUCAUAGACUGGUCAUUUUCUUAUAUUGGUGCAUUAUGCUAUAAAGUCACAGCCUCACAGAACUGCUAGUCUCACCAGGGAAUUUUGAAGAUCUCCUCUGUAAUACCCAUCACCCUUGGUUCAGCUACCCUAGCAGAUAGUUAUCAGGUAGCUGUGGUGAAUCUAUAGCCUCAUCCUAUAACCAGAUUAGUUACAGUAUAAAAUGUCUUAUUUACUUGAUGCACAUUGGUGCCCCUGAGUGCAUUCUACAUUUCAAGAAGUUGCAUUCCAAAUUCCAGGCAUCCCUGCUUCUCAUUUCAGGAACUGGAAGAUGAGAAGCUUGGUUGAUUUUAAAAAACAGAACAGGCUGUUCAGCCAUGUGGCAAAGAUACUGCCAUUUCCCAAAUGUGUUAAGAACAAAUUUGGAGCAUUGCAAGAAGUUAAUUGAAUUCAGUAUUGCGAUCAAUAUGGAUAUAUUCUCAAUUAUUAGAGUAUGGAAUAUCUCCAUACCAGGGAAAACAGAGAGGUCUUGAGUUGUUGUUGUUUUAAAAAAUGUGCAAUGCAUUCCUUUACACAGAAGUAAGUCCCACUGUGCUUAUUUUACUUCCAGGUAAGAGUACAGAGGAUUGCAGAGGUUGAUGUAGAGGAGGAAUGAGAAUGGACAGAUCUGUCUGCUUCUGUUUAUAUCAGGCUCUUCAAGCAUGUUUCCACAUCAAGCUGCAUUUUAAAAACAACAGCAGAAAUAUGCACAUGGUAUUUUCUCCAUAAAAUAUGCAUUUUUAUUCUACCCUAAAAUACAUAUUUUGGUGUGCAUGGUAACCUAAAAUGCUUGUUUUAUCUGUAUUUCAAUAUUCAUUUGUUUUUUGAAUGAUGAGUUUGUGGUUCUGUAUUGAAAAAUUGAAAGAUGUGCAAAAACCAAAGCUAUUUGUGUUCCAAUCUGCAUCAUAGCCUGUGAAGUGAAAGGAGUCAGCUCGCUUUAAUAUUGCACACCCAACAAGAUCUCCCAGCAUCCCUCAGAAGAAAUUGACAUGGGCAAAACGUGAAACAAUUUGAAAAGCUGGAUGGCUUUCAAAAAGAUGCUCAGGCAAGUCUUGUUGUGGGGCUGAUGUUCAAGCAAAGGGAACAAGUCUAGUGACAGACUGUCUGCCCGGCUCAUAAAUCUGCAGACAAAUUUAAGUUUUCACCUGGAGCUACAUUUACAAGUAUGUCAAUGAAAUUAAAAUCAAAGCCCCUUGCCUGGCCUGCGGGAAAGGAAAUGCAUCAUGAGAAGAGAAUGCUUUCCAGCACUCGCGGAUCCUUCUAAGUUUCUGAAAUCCUCCAAGUUAGCACUGUAGCAACAAGAAUCCCAGAGUGGAAUGUGUUGAACACGCUCAUGAUUAAUGUGGCAGUUCUUCAGGAAGGAUGUAAAGGUCAGGUUGAGGAGGACUCUGGUUAUUUAUGAGGCAGAAAUCUUUUAGGUAUUUCCAAGGGUGUUAUUCAAGUCAGCAUUAUUCUGUGACUGAACUUGGAUUUGACAUUUUUGGAUUUCAAAGACAGUUGAGGAGAAAUGCCUAGCAGGUUGUGUGUGUGGCGGCAGUUGAAAGGGGAAACAGAAUGAAAAUUAAGCUUCUAAUCGUUGUUGCAAACAUGUCACAAACUUUGUCUCCCAAACUGGGAAUCUUUUAAAGCUAUUGUAGCUCACUCCUUCCUUCCAACCAUUAUCAUAUGUUGUUCCUCUGUAUUUCCAUGGUGCUCUCAAAACAGCAAACAUGCCAGAGGAGAAUGUAUUUCCUUUCAUUAAAUAUAACCCUGAUUACUCCUUGGCUCUAGGCAUUUUUCAUCAGCAGAUAACAGUUCACUAAUGAAGUUGAUAUUGCUUUUUCAGCUGACUCAUGCCAGCACUGGGAUUAAUCAGUUAAAGGGGGGGGGAUGUAUAUCCUUGUUCAUAGACACAGUUGGCACUCUACAUUUUAUAAACCAAAUGACAGAAGAAUUGUGUUCUUUUCUAUGAGACUUUUCUAUUAUAUAUUCCAGCAGAUUAUUGUUUGGCUUUGAAUGAUUCUGCUGUUUAAAUGGUGG